rnacentral:rRNA from 1 species
AAAACUUACCAGGGCAACAAACUGAGAUGAUUGACAGCUUGAAAGUGCUUUCUUGAUCCGGUUGCAAGUGGUGCAUGGCCGUUCUUAGUUGGUGGAGUGAUUUGUUAGGUUAAUUCCCUUAACGAACGAGACCUUAACCUGCUAAAUAGGUGAACCUUUCUUAAGGUCGUACCUUCUUAGAGGGACUACUGUCUAAUACAGUGGAAGUGUGAGGCAAUAACAGGUCCGUGAUGCCCUUAGAAGUUCUGGGCCGCACGCGUACUACAAUGAUGCAUGCAAAAAGUUUUCCUAAUCCGACAGGAGAGGGUAAUCUUCUUAAUGUGCAUCUUGCUUGGGAUAGAUCUUUGUAAUUAUGGAUCUUGAACCAGGAAUUCCUAGUAAGCGUGAGUCAUCAACUCACGCUGAUUACGUCCCUGCCCUUUGUACACACC